ACACAUGCAAGUCGAGGGGCAGCAUUUCAGUUUGCUUGCAAACUGGAGAUGGCGACCGGCGCACGGGUGAGUAACACGUAUCCAACCUGCCGAUAACUCGGGGAUAGCCUUUCGAAAGAAAAAUUAAUACCCGAUGGCAUAAUUAGACCGCAUGGUCUUAUUAUUAAAGAAUUUCGGUUAUCGAUGGGGAUGCGUUCCAUUAGGCAGUUGGUGAGGUAACGGCUCACCAAACCUUCGAUGGAUAGGGGUUCUGAGAGGAAGGUCCCCCACAUUGGAACUGAGACACGGUCCAAACUCCUACGGGAGGCAGCAGUGAGGAAUAUUGGUCAAUGGACGAGAGUCUGAACCAGCCAAGUAGCGUGAAGGAUGACUGCCCUAUGGGUUGUAAACUUCUUUUAUACGGGAAUAAAGUGAGGCACGUGUGCCUUUUUGUAUGUACCGUAUGAAUAAGGAUCGGCUAACUCCGUGCCAGCAGCCGCGGUAAUACGGAGGAUCCGAGCGUUAUCCGGAUUUAUUGGGUUUAAAGGGAGCGUAGGCGGACGCUUAAGUCAGUUGUGAAAGUUUGCGGCUCAACCGUAAAAUUGCAGUUGAUACUGGGUGUCUUGAGUACAGUAGAGGCAGGCGGAAUUCGUGGUGUAGCGGUGAAAUGCUUAGAUAUCACGAAGAACUCCGAUUGCGAAGGCAGCUUGCUGGACUGUAACUGACGCUGAUGCUCGAAAGUGUGGGUAUCAAACAGGAUUAGAUACCCUGGUAGUCCACACAGUAAACGAUGAAUACUCGCUGUUUGCGAUAUACAGUAAGCGGCCAAGCGAAAGCGUUAAGUAUUCCGCCUGGGGAGUACGCCGGCAACGGUGAAACUCAAAGGAAUUGACGGGGGCCCGCACAAGCGGAGGAACAUGUGGUUUAAUUCGAUGAUACGCGAGGAACCUUACCCGGGCUUGAAUUGCAACUGAAUGAUGUGGAGACAUGUCAGCCGCAAGGCAGUUGUGAAGGUGCUGCAUGGUUGUCGUCAGCUCGUGCCGUGAGGUGUCGGCUUAAGUGCCAUAACGAGCGCAACCCUUAUCGAUAGUUACCAUCAGGUUAUGCUGGGGACUCUGUCGAGACUGCCGUCGUAAGAUGUGAGGAAGGUGGGGAUGACGUCAAAUCAGCACGGCCCUUACGUCCGGGGCUACACACGUGUUACAAUGGGGGGUACAGAAGGCAGCUACACGGCGACGUGAUGCUAAUCCCGAAAGCCUCUCUCAGUUCGGAUUGGAGUCUGCAACCCGACUCCAUGAAGCUGGAUUCGCUAGUAAUCGCGCAUCAGCCACGGCGCGGUGAAUACGUUCCCGGGCCUUGUACACACCGCCCGUCAAGCCAUGAAAGCCGGGGGUACCUGAAGUGCGUAACCGCAAGGAGCGCCCUAGGGUAAAACUGGUGAUUGGG
rnacentral:rRNA from 1 species